rnacentral:rRNA from 1 species
UACGAAGGGGGCGAGCGUUGUUCGGAAUUACUGGGCGUAAAGGGCGCGCAGGCGGCCCUUGAAGUCAGGCGUGAAAUCUUGCGGCUCAACCGCAAGCGGUCGUGGGAAACUGGGUGGCUAGAGUGCGGGAGAGGAGAGUGGAAUUCCUGGUGUAGCGGUGGAAUGCGCAGAUAUCAGGAAGAACACCGGUGGCGAAGGCGGUCUGCUGGGCCAAGACUGACGCUGAGGCGCGACAGCGUGGGGAGCAAACAGG